UUCUAUAAUGUUGUUUCUGUGUAAUGUUGUUUCUGCAGCCCAAGACUAAGCUAAGCAAGGUUGAGCCUGGUCAGUACCUGGAUGGGAGACCUCCUGGGAAAACUAGGUUGCUGUUGGAA
rnacentral:rRNA from 1 species